rnacentral:misc_RNA from 1 species
UCUCCGUAGGUGAACCUGCGGAGGGAUCAUUACAGAGUUCAUGCCCUACCGGGUAGAUCUCCCACCCUAUGUUAUUAUUACUUUGUUGCUUUGGCGGGCCGUUAGGCUCCGGCCCGACUACCGGCCCCGGCUGGUAAGCGCCCGCCAGAGGACCCAAAACCCUGAAUAUUAGUGUCGUCUGAGUUCUAUAUAAUAGUUAAAACUUUCAACAACGGAUCUCUUGGUUCUG